rnacentral:tRNA from 2 species
GGAGAGAUGCCAGAGCGGUCGAAUGGGGCGGUCUCGAAAACCGUUGUACCCUUACGGGUACCAAGGGUUCGAAUCCCUUUCUCUCCGCCA